rnacentral:rRNA from 1 species
GAUCAACGCUGGCGGCGUGCCUAACACAUGCAAGUCGCACGUCCUCUCGCGCAAGCGAGAGGGAGUGGCGGACGGGUGAGUAACACGUGGGCCACCUACCCUGCAGGUGCGGAAUACCACCGGGAAACCGGUGACAAUACCGCAUAGCCUGCCCUCUUGCAAGAGAGCAGGAAAGCCGGCAACGGCGCCUGAGGAUGGGCCUGCGUCCGAUUAGCUGGCUGGUGGGGUAACGGCUCACCAGGGCUGCGAUCGGUAGCUGGUCUGAGAGGAUGAUCAGCCACACUGGGAUUGAGAACGGCCCAGACUCCUACGGGGGGCAGCAGUGAGGAAUUUUCGGCAAUGGGGGCAACCCUGACCGAGCAACGCCGCGUGCAGGAUGACGGUUUUCGGAUCGUAAACUGCUUUUCUCGGGGACGAGAACGGACGGUACCCGAGGAACCAGCCCCGGCUAACUACGUGCCAGCAGCCGCCGUAA